GUAAAAGUACGUGAUUUUUGUUAAUUUGCCCGAGUCCACCGUCCCAGCGAAGCAAUCACGACACCAAGUGUUGAGCGCCCGGAAAAAGUUCCGCUUAUGCUUUCGGUAAUUCUAUUCUAUGCAUAAUCACGUCGAUAUUCGUCAACUAAUUCCGGUUGCCAUCCGUUUAGAAUAUGUUCGUUAAAUCGUUGCAUUCGCGGCUGGAACAGAAUGCUUCCGAACCGUACAAACUGAAAGUCAGUCGACAUGAACUGAAGUCUCAAAGCGUAAAAGCGCAGCGCAAAAUGCUAUAAAACUUACUUAGAUUGGAU